GGGCCUGUAGCUUAAUGGUUAGAGCCGACCUCUCAUAACGGUCUGGUUGCAGGUUCGAGUCCUGCCGGGCCUACCA
rnacentral:tRNA from 3 species